rnacentral:rRNA from 1 species
CAUCGGCAAGCACCCUCCGAAAACCAUUUAUAUAAAGAAAUGGCUUUUCGAGUUGUGAACCACGAAGUUGCUUACUUACUGGGAGCCUUGAGGGACGCUAGCAUAGGCCUCCGAAAGGGGAAAAACUAUGAACUGCGCCUCUAUCAAGACUGCGACCAGUGGCUUGCAGAAAUAGCAGCCAUUCUCGAAGCCAAUUUUGGGCUUCACUCGAGAAUAAGGAACAAGCUUCUGAGAGCAAACGGCAGGGACGCUAUUAAACAAAUAGUAAAAGUCUCUGAAUACGUCUGCCCUCAGGACUCGUGGGGAACGCCGUCACAAAUCCUCGAUGCCUCCACUGAAUUGAAGUGGAGCUAUUUGAGCGGAUUUUGGGACGCAGAAGGGGGGUUGCCGCUAAAGCCGGUCAUAGCGAAACAAAAAUACGUUUCUUUCGACCAGAAGGCCAAGCCUGCAUUGGAGUUCUUGAGAGACUUUCUGAUUUCAGAAGGCAUCAAGCCAACGCACUUGACCAAUACUGGACAGGUAUGGCAGUUUCGCAUAACCCGUUUUCGACACAUGGAAACAUUUGCAAAUAAAGUAAAGUCAUUGCAUUUUGAUAAACGCUCGCGCCUUAGCGAGCUAGUCGCGUCUCUUCCCUGAAUUGGCGGGGGAGCACCACAAGGGGUGGAUGCUGCGGUUCAAUUGGACUCAACGCCGGAAAUCUCACCAGGAGAGACGGCAGUAUGAAGCUCAGGCUGAAGACCUUAGCUAACAAGCCGAGAAGUGUUGCAUGGCCAGCGUCAGCUCGUGCCGUGAGGUGUCAAGUUAAGUCUUGCAACGAGCGAGAUCUUCGUUAACAGUUGCCACGCCGAAAGCAAUUUCGGCGGCACUCUGUUGAGACUGCCUGCGUAAGUAGGAGGAAGGAGGAGGCGACGCUAGGUCAGUAUGGCCUGAAUCUCCUGGGCCACACGUGGCAUACAAUGGCAGGGACAAUGUGUUCCGACGCCGAAAGGCGAAGGCAAUCACCUAAACCCUGCCCCAGUUCAGAUUGGGGGCUGAAACUCGUCCCCAUGAAGUUGGAAUCCCUAGUAAUCGCGUGUCACUAUCGCGCGGUGAAUAUGUCCCCGCUCCUUGCACACACCGCCCGUCAAGUCAUCCAAGUGAGGUCUUAGUGAGGCGCAUUCUCAAGAUUGCGUCGAGCUAGGGCUUCAUGAGGAGGAUUAAGUCGUGAAUUUGUUGCGAC